UCAUUGCAGAAUAAUAUUUAUAAUCUGAAUGUACACAGAAUGUAUCAAAUAUGCAAGUGCUAAGACAAACUGAAUUAAGAAUUGAGCAUGGAAUCUCAGAAAAUACAAUCAUCUAUCAGGCUGUAGGAUAUGAAGUUCGUUCAGCUAAACUAAAGUAUAUGAAGUAUGCUACGAUGAAGUCCACCCCGUACCAGUAGCUUUAUUACUCCAGCCUUAACACCAAAAUUUACAGAGAAAAUCCAUGAAGGAGAAGGUGUUGGUUUAUUUUAAAUACUCUUUUAUAAGUAAAUGUGAUGAUGGGAUAUACCGUAAUUACAAAUUAUUAUAGAAAGUAUGACUCCAUCAAACAUGUCUAGACAAACUGUUCAUAUUCACAGUACUCUAUACCACCAAUAUAGACAUAAAUCCUGCUAAAACAUGACCAACCUAUUGGAAGGUACCUUUCCACGCUCUAUCAAAUUUAGAUUAAACUUCUAGGUAUGGUUAAGAAGGCAGAGAUAGGAAAAGGGAUAACAUAUUAGUUUCUUCCUUUAAUUAGCACAUUUUUAACAUUUGUUGGCACUUAAUACAGAAAAGACAUUAAAAAUUACAUUAUUUAUGGUGAUUUUCUUCUUUUACAUACUGAACACUUCACUAGGACACACAACUCAUUCUGAAUUGAAAUGCAGAUCCUGUUCAGACCAGUAGAUGACACAAACUAUUUAUUUCACUAUAUUCAUCACAAUAUUAUAAUGUCACAGAAUCACCUACUACCUUCAACAUAGGAUUUAUCGUUUUUAGGAUAAAUGGGGAUGUAUAGCAACACUAAGACAAUCUUUAAAUUGCAUGGCAAUUUCAUGAAUUAUCAGCUAUGUCUAGAAAACAUUUAGAAGUAAUACAAGAGAUCCACCACGUCACAAAAUAAAAAUAGUCAACAAACACACACUACAUUUUCAGCUCAUUGUAUAUUUGUAACAACUAGCAAUAUUGUUAAAUAUAAAGUACUUACCACUGCAAAAAAUGAACCUAGCAUGACGAGGGCCUAUUGAGAUAGCUUUUCGAAAGAUAUAUCUACUGGUGAAACUUUUAACUUCACUGGCUAACUCCGUAAUUACAGUGUGACUAACAGACUUCCUAUAAUGACAAAUGCUAGGAAACAACUACAGCAGUCAGCAAAAUACCUUGUAUAGAAAAUAACAACAAAACCUUUAGAAGUGUAGAGUAGAAACAAUACAGAUCAGGUUAAACUGACAACUGGGGGAAAAAAAAGUAGUGAUUUAUUCAACAAUUAGGAAUAGGUUUAAAAGAAGCAGAAAAUAACCAAACCUCUAAAAAAAUUAUGAAUUUGACAAAAAAAAAAAAAAAAAUCAAGAACUCCAAACACAUGCCCAAGGCAAAACUAAAUAUCUUAGAGCCAAUCACACGACAGCAUCUUUGAAAUGCACAUCAUUUCAGAGCCAAGUGAAAAACACUUUUUAUCCAACGUAUAAAAGAAUCAGAAAGUUUUAAAUGCCAAAAAUAACUAUGUAUUUUGAAUGAAAUCAGUUCAUAUGCAGGCAUACUUGCAAGCAUACUUCUGCACGAAUCAUUCAUGAUAGAGGCAAUCAUAGGUUAUCAGGCUCUGCAGAGGGUCUUUCUAAACAAGAAAAGAAAAAACAGUAUAAAACAGAUAAUUCCUAGUUCAAAAGGAAAAAAAAUACAAGAUCCUGAAAUAAACCAGUUGCUUGCUUUGCUUUUACAAACAAAUUUUGGAAAAUCUUAGUUCUCAGAAAGAAAAGAACAAUGGAAGUGAUUCACCCUGAAAUACAAGACUGAAGAAAGAAAUCUUGUUGAUGUUGUUAAGAACACAAAGCUUGUUCUCUGUUGCUUUCAGCAACUAUGAUGUUAGCCACCUGUGUUAGCCCUAGCGCGAGCUGGCCAAUUACCUGGUCAGGACCAAAUGACUGCAGACGCACACCAAUAUGAUGAGCAGCAAAAUGGCGUUUAAUCACUACUAAACACAGCUUACAUAUUUUACCUAAGCAACCGUGCUGUCAUGUUCCACCCUGAUUGGUUCGCACUACAUAACACUGUGCCUUAUUUGGCUGCUUCCUCAUUCCUUUGCAUCUUUCCCCUAUUCUUGUUUUCUCUGCAUCAAGGUCAGCACGAUAGCACCGUCUCACUAUGCUUAGGGAAAAGCCUGUCCCGUACAUCCUGUUUCCCCGUAAGACGCCUACUACAACAGUUCUCCGACAAUAUUGACAGAAUUCUUGAAAUAAUAGAGAAAGAAGAACCACGCUGUAGUGGAAAUGCUAAGUCACAGCUUGAAAUAGUGAUUGAGCACCUGGUGGGAAGGCAGGGCCAACCCAGGGGAGCUCAGGUGCAUGCAAUGUACCUGAGUGAUGAGAAAGGGUGGAGCCGGGAUGCACCUCUUUCCAGACCUCAUGUAAGGGUUGGCAGUGGGGGUCAGAUUAUCUCACUGGAGGUCUGUACUAUUGUUGUAGUAGGCGCUUGAUGGGAAUACGUGCUGUAUGGGAUAGUCCUCUUCCUAAGCACAGUGAAAGGGUGCUGUUGUGUUCAGACAGGCUGUCCUUGCUAAUGAAGUAAACAAGAUAAGUAGGCGAAGGAAUGAGGAGACAAUAGGAGCCAAAUAAGGAAUUGUAGUAAGGGGCUAAGAUCCAGUACGGACGAAUCAGAACAGGGCACGAUAGCUCAAGUAAAGGUAUAUAAGCUGUGCUUAGUAGUGAAUAGAUGCCAUUUUACUGCUCAUCAUAUUGGUGUGCGUCUGCAGUCAUUUGGCCCUGAUCAGGUAAUUGGUCAGUGUGUGCAAGAGGGCUAGCACAGGUGGCUAACAUCAUAGUUGCUGAAGGCAACAGCAUAUCUGAGGCCUUCUGAAGGUAAGGUGUUUUUUUCCCCUUAUUUCUGUGUCCACUGUAACUCCUCACUUGCCUGGGUUCUUGCUGCUCUGUUGUCAUUGUUGCACUUACCAUCAUGUUACACAGACUAUCAGAUUCCAUUUCCUAAGCUGCAAAGAUAACAUACAUAAUUGUAAGACAUAAUGGCACUUGAUCUCAUAUUUUCAAAGAAAUACUAUGAUAUCACGUCACUUCACAGGGCACACCACUUAGCUUUAUAGCAUUUACUUAUAGCAGAGUCACAUAUUAAAUGCUGCUGAGUUAUAGGGUAAAUGAUACUCAUAUCUGUUGGGCAAAUUACAGCUUAAUAACACAAGAAUAUACAUAAAUAAUAUGAAUUUCCUGGUUAUUUUAAUAACAAAUAACUUAUAAUUAUGGAAAACAAAGAAGCAGUCGAGUGAUGGGCUGGAAUAUACAAGCAAGAAUGUUUUUAUACACUGAGCCAAGUGUUUCUAAACUAAAAUGCUCAUAGUAUGAGUGUCUUAAUUUUUUCCUGAAAUCUAACACAACUGCAAGCCAACAGAGCCUCAGGUAGUGCUCAUCCCACUCACCUCUGAUUAGAUCUAGUGCAAUGAGUCAGUUCAACAGGUAGAACUGAAGAAAACUGUUUGUGACAGGUGCUUUUUACUGAAUCAAACCAAUUUUCACUAAUAUGCUUGCUAAAUCCAAUGUGACAGGAAGAGAGGGAACAUACAGCCAGCUGUGAAAGAAGCGAGGGUGAAGAAUUGCCUUUUAAACCACACCAAACCCAAGCUAGUGCCAGAUUAUAUUAAAGUAAAUAGGACUGUGUACUUCAAGUAAUUAAAGUGGUACACCUUUAGUCUGGGACAUGUGACAAGAAUGAUAGAAACACCUAAAAUUUUGUAGACAUUUUCUGCCUGCUGAAGAACACAUUUUGUUAACUAAACUUAACAGAAGUCAGAGCCAUGUUUCCAAAACAAUGUUACAAGGACAUUUUUUAGCAGGGAAAAUACUCUAGUUUUAUUACAAGUAUCAACAUUGGAGCUGUUUGCCAUAAUUCCCGAACAGCUCAGACGCUUGCAUUACAUUUCCAGGUUGUAAUGGAGAGCAGUAACCAAGUUACCAAUCACAAGAAAUUAUUUGUUACGUUCCAUGAUUGAGCCAUAACUUUAAAUUCAGAGAACUUGGCUUAUCUGGUAAUAUGUAUUUGACCCUUACGACAUGACUAGUUUUGUUGAAUUAGCCUGAACAUGUGAUGUGGCGUUUAUGCCAGCUGCAGAAAGAUACUAUGCCCGGCUUGACAUAACAAAAUGUUAAUACAUUUGAUUUAGCAGAGUGAACUUGAGUAAAGUACUGCUUAGCAUCUUGUGACUACUAUGCUUUGGCUCAAUCCUAAGUGAACUAAAACCAGACUUAUUGUUAUGAAACCAUGGUUCUUUCAAAACCCCCUCUCUAAUCAGUCUGUAGUGAGCACACAUUACUCAGUUGUGCCUCCUGAAAGUUGUACACAGGUAUGACAACAAUAGUCCUAAAUAGAUAUGCACCAAAGGCUUACCUACAAGAAUAAUUUGAGACCCUACUACCUUUGCUCUUGCUCUGCUGAAUUCUAAAAAACACUACAUCUUCCUUCUUCCCUGCUUAUCCAUUUAUGGAAUUGCAGCUUGCUGCCAUCAAAACAAAGUCAGUGGUGGUGAGUCAGACUUGAAAGGUGGGCCCGGGUGAACCCAAUGAGGUUCAGCACAGCAAUGUGCGAGGUUUUGCACUUGGGCUGGAGGAACCCCAGGCAUCUGUAAAGACUGGAAGGAGAAGUCCUUGAGAGCAGCUCUGCAGAGAAAGACCUGGGGGUCCUGAUGGAUGACAACCUUAACAUGAGCCAGCAGUGUGCUCUUGCAGCUUGGAAAGCAAAUGGUAUCCUGGGCUCCAUCAUGAGAGGGGUGGCCAGCAGGGACAGGGAGGUGACUGUCCCUCUCUACUCUGCUCUUGUGAGGCCCCAUCUGGACUACUGUGUCCAGGUAUGGAGCCCCCAGUACAAGAAAGACAGAGAGCUGUUGGAGAGGGUCCAAAGGAGGGCCACAAAGAUGAUCAGGGGGCUGGAGCACCUCCCCUACAAUGACAGGCUGAGGGAGCUUGGCUUAUUCAGCCUGGAGAAGAGAAGGCUGCAGGGUGACCUCAUUGCAGCCUUUCAGUACCUGAAGGGAGCCUAUAAACAGGAAGGGAGUAAACUCUUUGAAAGGGUAGAUAACAGCAGGACAAGGGGGAAUGGUUUUAAGUUGAAAGAGGGAAGAUUUAGGCUGGAUGUUAGGGGGAAGUUCUUUACAAGGAGAGUGGUGAGGUGCUGGAACAGGCUGCCCAGAGAGGUUGUGGAUGCCCCGUCCCUGGAGGUGUUCAAGGCCAGGUUGGAUGGGGCCCUGGGCAACCUGGUCUAUUAAAUGGGGAGGCUGGUGGCCCUGCCUGGCAUGGGGGUUGGAGGUUCAUGAUCCUUGAGGUCCCUUCCAACCCAGGCCAUUCUGUGAGUCCAAGACCAUGGGGUCAGAUGGGAUCCACCCAAGUGCACUGAAGGAGCUAACAGAAGUGCCUGCCAAGCUGGUUUCCAUCGUUUAUCAGCAGACACAUACUGAGUUUCAUGGUACAGGACUUUUUAUUGAAAAGUCAUGGCAGGCAGUCAGGUGAAGUCCCUGGUGACUGGAGAAAAAAAAAAAAAAGGCAACAUCACACAUUUUUAAGAGGGUUUUACCCAGAAUGACCCUGGGAACUACCAACUGCUCAGUUGUACCUCUGUGCCAAGAAAGAUCAUGAAGCAGAUCUUCCUGGAAGCUAUGCUAAGGCAUGUGGAUGACAGGGAGGUGAUACAGGAGAACCAGCAUGGCUUUACCAAGGGAAAAAUCCUGAUUGACCAUCUACGAUGGUGUCACUGCAUCAAUGGACAAGUGAAAAGCCACUGAUGUCAUCUGUCUGGACUUCAGUAAGGCCUUUGGCACAGUAACCCACAACAUUCUUCUCUUCAGAUUGGAAAUAUACGGAUUUGAUGGGUGGACUGUUCAACAUAAAGAAGUGGCAACAGGACUGAGUCCAGAGAGUGGUGGGCAAUGGCUCCAUGUCUGGAUAGAGAUCAGUGACUAGUGGUGUCUCCCAGGGGUCAGAGUUAGGAUCAGUUGUCUUCGGUGUUUGAGGUUGAAGACCCCUCCCUCGAGAGUUCAGGCUGGACAGGGCUCUGAGCAACCUGAUCUAGCUGUGGAUGUCCCUGCUCAUUGCAGGGGAAUUGAACUACAUGACCUUUAAAGGUCCCUUCCAACCGUAAGGAUUCUAUGACUAAUACCGUAGACAAAGUCCUAUAAAAUGGUGCGUUUAAUGUUUGUAUAAAGGUACUAACUUUGAAUUUAAGACAGGAAAACUUCAAAUUCUGCAUCUGUAGGAGUCUGCAGGUAGACUUCUAAGUAAUCCUCCAUCAGCUACCAGAAGUGUUUUUUGUCUUUAUUUUUUAAUGACACAAGGUUGGAAGCAGAAAACAAGUAUUUGUUUAAAAUUCAAAUCCUGUGGUAUCUUACGUAUCUAAAAAAGAAAAAUGCUGGAUCAGAAACAAACAAAAAUGACUACCUCAGUAGGAGACAGCUGGAGUGAAAUUGCUCUUUGAAAAUGAGUAUUGCUGACAUGGAAACUACAAAGUAUUGGCUGACAAAAAGAACACUGACAAUUAGGGUCGUAUGUUCUACAUAAAAGAUGAUGCAACAGAAUGAGUAAAUAACCUUAUUAGCUAUUUCCUUAUAAACCUAACUGAACAGGUGUCUCCAAACUACAGAAAUGCUGUACAUUAACAUUUGGUGGAAUGUUUUCUCCUAGUGGAAUAUAACUAUCAUUUUCCACGUAGAAGUAUCUGUACUUACAAAGGAAGUAUGAACUUCUUGUGGUUUUAUGGUUUUUGUUAUUGGUAUUCCACAUCAUAGCAACAUGUUGUGCACUGGAUACCCAGUUCUCAGAAGAGAAGAACAACUACAUACACCAGAGGACUUUGCAUUGUUGUUUCCAUUUUCUUUUCAGAGGGAAAGAUAAAACCGUUCUCGUAUCACAAGACAUCCCCCUUUUCUCUUCUGCUUGGCCUGGUUAGACAUCUUGCCUCAGCAUUAGACUAAGGGCUUUGGUUUUUGGACACUCAUUUUAUUUACUAGCUUCAAUUCUAAUUAUAUUGUACUACAGUGUGUUAUCUUGCAUUCCAAUAUCUUACUUCGUAAACUAGUUUUAUUUCUCCUCAGAUAAUUGCUGCUGUUUUGUUUUUAGGCCCAUCUCCCUACCCUUUCCCCAGCCAUAGAUCUGUGGGUUGCCCUGCCCCACUACUAGUCAUGGAGCUGGGCAGAACCAGCCUGUAAACUGUUGACAACUGAAUCACUACUUAAAGAAAUAGUUAUUCAAUUUGACUACAGGUAUGGGUCUUCGAGAAGACUUUCCUUGUCCCAGCAUUGUCCCUUUGUCCCAUUGUUCCUUGUCCCAGCAUUGUGACUGAAACAGUAGACAUACUGGAUUUGCAAAUUGAUCAGCAAGUUCCCAGGACUUUCCAAGGUCCCCAGUUUUACCCUGAGGGGACAAAAUGCACAGCAUUUACUGCUGUUGAAGUUAGCUUCCCCUGGUUCAGCAACUACUCUUCAAAGAGUGAUUUAACUAGAGGGUUUUUCUCUUGACAAAGGGAGACAAAUGCCAUACUCAGGUAUUUUAGUAACUCUUAACAACAAACAAAAUUUAGUAACUCAGUUAACAAAUACUGGCUACAAUCUCCAGCUGUGUCCCCACCUGCACCUCAAACCUGCC
ensembl:lncRNA